rfam:Aedes albopictus isolate Foshan contig245677, whole genome shotgun sequence.
UAAACGGUCCUUUUCAGGACCACCGAAAA